UACGUAGGGUGCGAGCGUUGUCCGGAAUUAUUGGGCGUAAAGAGCUUGUAGGUGGUUUGUCGCGUCUGCUGUGAAAAUCCGAGGCUCAACCUCGGACUUGCAGUGGGUACGGGCAGACUAGAGUGGUUGCAGGGGAGACUGGAAUUCCUGGUGUAGCGGUGAAAGUGCGCAGAUAUACAGGGAGGAACACCGGGUGGCGAAGGCGGGU
rnacentral:rRNA from 1 species